rnacentral:lncRNA from 1 species
AAUUAUUUGAGUAUUUUUUUAUGAAAAAAACUUACUAUCUAUUCAUUUACAAUCAUGAUAGGACAACGAACAUCAGAAAUGAUAAAAAUUACUUCUAGGUGAGUAGGCCACCUAGCGAUGACUACAAACACGAACGUGUCAUUGUCAUUAUACCUCCCUCGGCGGAACCGGGCAAAACUUAUUAUAGUAGACAGUCGAAAAGUCGUCGUGUUAAGGUCCUAUAAAAACAACGCAUCAUAACAUCAACCACCAUUGACAAAGAGAAGUAUAAAUCAGCCGAAAGCAAAUUUAGCCUCCAUACUGAAGGAUUGAUCGGCCGGAAGCAAAUUAUUCGAACUUGAUAGCAGUUCUGCUUCAUAUUUAUUGCUUCCUCCAUUUCAAAACAAGCGUCGUGAUUAACAAAAACCAUGACACUUACUGUAUUUUGAAACAGAGGGGGUGUAGUAAUUAAUUCCACAAGCAAAGCCAGACUCCACGCAUACAUCCGAAGAUGGGUUCAGCUGAAUUUGUGUGGUUUUUGAUCGUCUGCAAAAAUAGGCACAAGAGAAAAAUGUUACUACAAAUUAAGCCGGGUGUGCAACUGGAAACACCUAGGAGUAUCCUUUGAUGGUCCAGCCGGAUAUGCUCUUGGAUGAAUUAGCCUAGGAAAUGGAGAUACCAAGACAAGCAACCGAUCGGGACCAGUAGCACGAGCAGCAGUU